rnacentral:rRNA from 1 species
UACAGAGGAGCCAAGCGUUGUCCGGAUUGACUGGGCGUAAAGCGCACGCAGGCGGACGCGCGCAUGGGGUGUGAAAUCUGGCCGCUUAACGGCCAGGCGCCAUCCCAUACGGCGCGUCUGGAGUGAUGCAGAGGUCGGUGGAAUUGCCGGUGUAGUGGUGAAAUGCGUAGAGAUCGGCAGGAACACCCAGGGGGAAACCAGCCGACUGGGCAUCUACUGACGCUGAGGUGCGAGAGCGUGGGGAGCGAACCGG